UCGAGAAUUUUUCACAAUGGGCGAAAGCCUGAUGGAGCGACGCCGCGUGGGGGAUGAAGGGCUUCGGCCUGUAAACCCCUGUCAUUUGUGAACAAUCCUUCUCAUUUAAAAGAUGAGAAGUUGAUAGUAGCGAAAGAGGAAGGGACGGCUAACUCUGUGCCAGCAGCCGCGGUAAUACAGAGGUCCCAAGCGUUGUUCGGAUUCACUGGGCGUAAAGGGUGCGUAGGUGGUAGAGUAAGUUUGGUGUGAAAUCUUCGGGCUUAACCCGAAAACUGCAUUAAAUACUAUUCUGCUAGAGGAUCGGAGGGGAGACUGGAAUUCUCGGUGUAGCAGUGAAAUGCGUAGAUAUCGAGAGGAACACCAGUGGCGAAGGCGAGUCUCUGGACGAUUCCUGACACUGAGGCACGAAAGCUAGGGGAGCAAACAGG
rnacentral:rRNA from 1 species